rnacentral:rRNA from 1 species
UACGAGGGGGGCAAGCGUUGUUCGGAAUUACUGGGCGUAAAGCGCACGUAGGCGGCUUUGUAAGUUAGAGGUGAAAGCCCGGGGCUCAACUCCGGAAUUGCCUUUAAGACUGCAUCGCUAGAAUUGUGGAGAGGUAAGUGGAAUUCCGAGUGUAGAGGUGAAAUUCGUAGAUAUUCGCAAGAACACCAGUGGCGAAGGCGGCUUACUGGUCCGGUUCUGACGCUGAGGCGCGAAAGCGUGGGGAGCAAACAGG